CAAGGAGGGUCAGGGCUUGAGGGACAUGAGUGGCACUUUAGGCAGUAGGUGCCUAGGGCACCUUAGAGCUCUGCAGCAUGUGCCUUCGAGUUAAGGAUGAGGAGCCUGCACAAGUCUACCCAGUGCCAGCCAUGCAAGGUUCCAACUCGGGGACUGGGAUUUAGAAGUCCUGAGUGAACAGACUAGAUCCUAGGCUGGAAGGACCACGAAGGCACCAUCCUUCAGAUGUUUCUACCAGGCAGAAAUCUGGGGUCCUGAGACUGGUAUAAAAGGUUUUGAUAAUGUUGGAUAUAUACAUAGAUAUGUAUAUAUGGCUGUCUGUGGAAAAACGUAUCAAUUACAUGCAAAACCUACAGAAAGAGAAGAGGAAAUUGGGGAAAAGGUUCGCAAGGCCUAACCCGAUUCCGGAUACAGGCAUCUUUAAAAUUCCUCUCACCAAAUUCCCAUUGUUUACAUUUAUUUAGAAACCGUCUCCUGAUAAUGACGCGUAGUUGAUCUUCGAAGCCAUAUGUGGACAUAAGCUUGGAGUCUUCUAGAAGAAACCACGCUCCAGACCAAAAUAUGUGUGGACUUCUGAUACUGGCCAACAGCUCAUGGCUUAACUUCAUCUGAAAAAUAAAGGAAUGUGUGGCCAUUCUGCAAAAUAAAAACUGAGCUUGCAGUAACAUUCAGGCUGUGGGCUUCUGA
rnacentral:lncRNA from 1 species